rnacentral:misc_RNA from 1 species
AACCAUAGAAACCUGCGGAGUACCUGCGGAGGGAUCAUUAUAGUAUAUGGAAUCUCCAUUCUAUAAACCCACUCUGCGUAUCUUGUAACUGUUGCUUCCAUGGGACUUGGUUCCGCCACACCGGCUUCACGGCUGGUGAGCGCCCAUGGAAGGAGAAACAAAACUCUUCUUUGAAAUGUAGUCAGUCUGAACAAGUUUUUAUAAACGUUAAAACUUUCACAACGGAUCUCAGAUCGGAAG